rnacentral:rRNA from 1 species
CCUACGGGAGGCAGCAGUGGGGGAUAUUGCACAAUGGGGGGAACCCUGAUGCAGCGACGCCGCGUGGGUGAAGGAGUAUUUCGGUAUGUAAAGCCCUAUCGGCAGGGAAGAAAUUGGACGGUACCUGACUAAGAAGCCCCGGCUAACUACGUGCCAGCAGCCGCGGUAAUACGUAGGGGGCAAGCGUUAUCCGGAUUCACUGGGUGUAAAGGGAGCGUAGACGGCCAUGCAAGCCAGGGGUGAAAGCCCGGGGCCCAACCCCGGGACUGCCCUUGGAACUGCAUGGCUGGAGUGCGGGAGGGGCAGGCGGAAUUACUGGUGUAGCGGUGAAAUGCGUAGAGAUCAGGAGGAACACCGGCGGCGAAGGCGGCCUGCUGGACCGCGACUGACGUUGAGGCUCGAAAGCGUGGGGAGCGAACAGGAUUAGAUACCCUGGUAGUC